rnacentral:rRNA from 1 species
UACAGAGGUCUCAAGCGUUGUUCGGAUUCAUUGGGCGUAAAGGGCGCGUAGGCGGCGCGGGUAGUCAUCGGUGAAAGUUCAGGGCUCAACUCUGAAUCGGCCGGUGAUACUCCCGUGCUCGAGCACUGUAGAGGCAGGUGGAAUUCCGGGUGUAGCGGUGGAAUGCGUAGAGAUCCGGAAGAACACCGGUGGCGAAGGCGGCCUGCUGGGCAGUAGCUGACGCUGAUGCGCGACAGCGUGGGGAGCAAACGGG